CAACAUUUGAUAAAUUAAGUCCUGAACUAUACACUACUAGAUCAUCAGCAAAUUGGAGGGACAUUUAAGGAUAGAAGAAUGGAUGAUAAUUGUUCUAAAUCAACAUUAUUAAAUGCUCCUACAACAUCCAAAAAAACACCAGCCAAUAUCUUAUUGUCAAUCUGGGCACUAUGGAUGUCAAGACAUAAAUGCCGUAUACUCUCACAAGCAGAACGACCACAUCGAAAUCCAAAUUGAUUAUUAGGGCAUUGACCUGAUACUGCAAGAUGGUUACCUUUACAGUGCACACAUACUGCUUUGUCAAUAGGUAUAGUACAUUCUUUAUAUGAAUGAUUUUCAGUGCAGAUUGAGCAACGCUGAGCAUUCUUACAGAAUUUAGCCAAGUGGUCAAACCUAAGGCAUCGGAAACACUGCUUAACUGGCGGCACAUAAGGUCGCACUGGUAGACGCCACAUCUUUAAG